AUGCACGGCCGCCGCCAUCUGGCGGCCUCCCUGGCGAGAACCCUGUCCCAGGCCCCCUCCCGCUCCAUCUCCUCCACCCCGUCCCUCCUCCAAACCCUUGACCCGACCCCGCAGUCCCCUCCCCUCGCCGCGCCCGCGGCGGGGCGGCUCGCGGAGAUGCGGAGGCGGCUGCAGGCGGAGACGCCGUCACUGGGGGACUUCGCGUACUCGGUGGAGGUGGGGACGCGGAAGAAGCCGCUGCCCAAGCCCAAGUGGAUGAAGGAGACGAUCCCCGGCGGGGCCAAGUACGCGGCCAUCAAGGCCAAGCUGCGGGAGCUGAAGCUGCACACCGUCUGCGAGGAGGCGCGCUGCCCCAACCUCGGCGAGUGCUGGUCGGGCGGCGAGACCGGCACCGCCACUGCCACCAUCAUGAUCCUCGGUGACACCUGCACGCGCGGAUGCAGAUUUUGCAAUGUCAAGACAUCACGAACCCCUCCUCCACCAGAUCCUAAUGAGCCUGCCAAUGUUGCGCAAGCUAUUGCAUCGUGGGGCCUUGAAUAUAUAGUCAUCACAAGUGUGGAUCGGGAUGAUUUACCUGAUCAGGGGAGUGGCCAUUUUGCUGAAACAGUACAGAGGCUGAAGACUUUAAAGCCAGAUAUGCUUAUUGAAGCGCUUGUGCCUGAUUUCCAAGGAGAUCGAAGUUGUGUAGAAAAGGUAGCAACUUCCGGUUUGCAUGUUUUUGCACACAAUAUUGAAACGGUGGAAGAGCUUCAAAGAAGUGUGCGAGACCACCGUGCAAAUUUUAAGCAAUCAAUGGAUGUUCUGAAAAUGGCGAAGGAGUAUGCCCCUCCUGGCACCCUCACAAAGACAUCAGUCAUGCUGGGUUGUGGGGAGACUCCCGAUCAGGUUAUCAGCACAAUGGAAAAGGUGCGAGCUGCUGGUGUUGAUGUCAUUACAUUUGGUCAGUACAUGAGGCCGUCAAAGCGACAUAUGCCAGUGUCUGAGUAUAUUACACCUGAAGCCUUCGAGAACUACCGCGCCCUUGGUGUUGAAAUGGGAUUCCGUUAUGUUGCAUCUGGUCCGAUGGUUCGGUCCUCUUACAAAGCAGGCGAAUUCUACAUCAAAGCCAUGAUCGAAGAUGACCGAGCAAAAUCAGGUGCUGUUGCAGACUCAAGUUGCUAG
rnacentral:rRNA from 1 species